rnacentral:tRNA from 1 species
UCUGGUAUGGCCCAGUGGUAGUGCACCCGGCUCUUGGACCGGGCGGACGCAGGUUCGAGCCCUGCUGCCAGAA